UACGUACCGUCCAAACGUUAUUCGGAAUUACUGGGCUUAAAGGGUACGUAGGCGGCGGCAUCAGUCGGUUGUGAAAUCCCACGGCUCAACCGUGGAACUGCGCCCGAUACUGUGGUGCUUGAGGGAGACAGAGGUAAGCGGAACUGAUGGUGAAGCGGUGAAGUGCGUUGAUAUCAUCAGGAACACCAGUGGCGAAAGCGGCUUACUGGGUCUCUUCUGACGCUGAGGUACGAAAGCGAGGGGAGCGAAGGGG
rnacentral:rRNA from 1 species